rnacentral:rRNA from 1 species
UUGAGAGCUUGCUUUUAUUAUUUUAGCGGCCGAUGGGUGAGUAACGUGUGGGUAACCUGCCUUUUACUGGGGAAUAAUCACUGGAAACGGUGACUAAUACCGCAUAAUAUUCUUAGGAGGCAUCUUCUGAGAAGGAAAGGAGAAAUUCGGUAAAAGAUGGGCCCGCAUCUGAUUAGCUAGUUGGUGAGAUAACAGCCCACCAAGGCGACGAACAGUAGCCGACCUGAGAGGGUGACCGGCCACAUUGGGACUGAGACACGGCCCAAACUCCUACGGGAGGCAGCAGUGGGGAAUAUUGCACAAUGGGGGAAACCCUGAUGCAGCAACGCCGCGUGAAGGAAGACGGUUUUCGGAUUGUAAACUUCUAUCAAUAGGGAAGAAAGAAAUGACGGUACCUAAAUAAGAAGCCCCGGCUAACUACGUGCCAGCAGCCGCGGUAAUACGUAGGGGGCAAGCGUUAUCCGGAAUUACUGGGUGUAAAGGGAGAGUAGGCGGCAAGGUAAGCGAUAUGUGAAAGCCUUAGGCUUAACCUGAGGAUUGCAUAACGAACUAUCUAGCUAGAGUACAGGAGAGGAAAGCGGAAUUCCUAGUGUAGCGGUGAAAUGCAUAGAUAUUAGGAAGAACACCAGUGGCGAAGGCGGCUUUCUGGACUGAAACUGACGCUGAGGCUCGAAAGCGUGGGGAGCGAACAGGAUUAGAUACCCUGGUAGUCCACGCUGUAAACGAUGAGUGCUAGGUGUCGG